UUAAGUUCAGCGGGUAGUCCUACCUGAUUUGAGAUCAAACAUUUACAAAGCUGUCUUCGCUGAGGAGAGACAUUUAUGAGCCCCAGUGAACCUCCAUCACUGAAGGUUACCUGGCAGGAAACCACAAGCGUAGAUAUUUAUCACACCCGUGAUGCCACCAAACACUGGAAAGCUGAUUCAUUUGAGAGGAGCCGACCGCA
rnacentral:misc_RNA from 1 species